rnacentral:rRNA from 1 species
GUGGGGAAUAUUGCACAAUGGGGGAAACCCUGAUGCAGCGACGCCGCGUGAGUGAAGAAGUAUUUCGGUAUGUAAAGCUCUAUCAGCAGGGAAGAAAACAAUGACGGUACCUGACUAAGAAGCCCCGGCUAACUACGUGCCAGCAGCCGCGGUAAUACGUAGGGGGCAAGCGUUAUCCGGAUUUACUGGGUGUAAAGGGAGCGUAGACGGCAUGGCAAGUCAGAUGUGAAAGCCCGGGGCUCAACCCCGGGACUGCAUUUGAAACUGUCAGGCUAGAGUGCAGGAGAGGUAAGUGGAAUUCCUAGUGUAGCGGUGAAAUGCGUAGAUAUUAGGAGGAACACCAGUGGCGAAGGCGGCUUACUGGACUGUAACUGACGUUGAGGCUCGAAAGCGUGGGGAGCAAACAGGAUUAGAAACCCGAGUAGUCC